rnacentral:rRNA from 1 species
CCUACGGGGGGCUGCAGUGAGGAAUAUUGCGCAAUGGCCGAAAGGCUGACGCAGCGACGCCGCGUGAGGGAUGAAGUCCGUUAGGAUGUAAACCUCUUUUGCAGGGGAUGAACGUCUCGCUAUACGCGGGAUUGACCGUACCCUGCGAAUAAGGAUCGGCUAACUACGUGCCAGCAGCCGCGGUAAUACGUAGGAUCCGAGCGUUGUCCGGGAUUUCUGGGUGUUGUAGGCGGGUUCGUGGGUUCGUCGUGAAAUCCCGCAGCUGAACUGCGGAAUUGCCUUCGAUACUGGGGAUCUUGAGUGCGGCAGAGGGAGAUGGAAUUCAUGGUGUAGCGGUGAAAUGUGUAGAUAUCAUGAAGAACACCGGUAGCGAAGGCGGUCUCCUGGUCCGUAACUGACACUGAUGCGCGAAAGCGUGGGGAGCAAACAGGAUUAGAUACCCCAGUAGUC